UUUCAUUCAGCGCCUACAUUCUCUCUGGACCUCACGCGGUCACGCCCUCUGCCAUUUAUGGAGCGGAAGUCCACACCAAAAUACUCCUAGAAACAGAGCAGCAUUACGAGGCCAAAAGUAAGCUGCUGCUGUUCUUCGACCCGUCCCGUUCGUUCGAUUCGUUCUUUCCGCCAUGGAGGCUCGGAGGAAGCCCGCGGUGUGCUGUGCCCUUCUUGUGCUGCUCAUCGUCGCCUCCAGCGCAACGGUGUCGACUGCUCAUGACGAGAGCUGCUGGAAGGACGACGACCACCACCCUAUCUGCUUUCCCGAAGACUGCGUGGCGACCUGCCAGGAUCACGGCCACGCGGACGGCCGCUGCAACUGGGCAUGGUCGUGGAGGCCGUAUUGCCAGUGCCUGUUGGCGGACUGCCAAUAGGCGCGAACAGCUGCGUCGCAUGGCGUCCUGGCUGCCUCGCCGGCCGAUGAAGGAUGAACGGUUGCGGCCGAUGAUCGAUGUGUCCGUCGGCAUGUCGAUCACUCAUUGAAACCCCCUCUAAUCCUGUGCGGUAUUAUUUUCAUGGCACCUGUGGCCAUUAAAGAUCCAUGGACACGUACAGUACCAAUACAUGAUUCUUCACAGUUCAACUAUCGAUGAUACUGUUCAUGGAUUUUCAUUCCGAUACAAACUCAUUUCGUGGUUA